UACGAGUGCUCCAAGCGUUAUCCGGAAUCAUUGGGCGUAAAGGGUGUGUAGGUGGUUGUGUUAGUCUUCUGUUAAAUUCUUCGGCUUAACCGGGGGCAUGCAGGGGAAACGGCACAACUAGAGGAUGCGAGAGGUGAACGGAACUCAUGGAGUAGGGGUGAAAUCCGUUGAUAUCAUGGGGAACACCCAAAUGCGAAGGCAGUUCACUGGCGCACUCCUGACACUGAGACACGAAAGCGUAGGUAGCGAAUGGGG
rnacentral:rRNA from 1 species